AACGAACGCUGGCGGCGCGUCUUACACAUGCAAGUCGAACGGCAGGAAGGGGCUUGCCCCUUCUGAGAGUGGCGGACUGGUGAGUAACACGUGGGUGACAUACCUUUUAGUUGGGGAUAGCUAUUAGAAAUAGUAGGUAAUACCGAAUGUGACCGUACCUGUUAGAGGGGUACGAGGAAAGGAGCUAAGGCUUCGCUAAAAGAAUGGCUCGCGGCCCAUUAUGCUCGUUGGUGAGGUAACGGCCCACCAAGGCGAUGAUGGGUAUCCGGCCUGAGAGGGUGAACGGACACAUUGGGACUGAGAUCCGGCCCAGACUUCUACGGGAGGCAGCAGUUAAGAAUAUUCCGCAAUGGACGAAAGUCUGACGGAGCGACGCCGCGUGGAUGAAGAAUGCCGAAAGGUUGUAAAAUCCUUUUAAGCCUGAUGAAUAAGCACAGUAGGGAAUGAUUGUGCGGUGACCGUAGGGAUUGAAUAAGCACCGGCUAAUUACGUG
rnacentral:rRNA from 1 species